GAAACGCGAUAGUUAAUGUGAAUUGCAGAAUUCAGUGAAUCAUCGAGUCUUUGAACGCACAUUGCGCCUUUUGGUAUUCCGAGAGGCACGCCUGUCUGAGCGUCAGUAAAAACCCCUCGGCUAGUAAUUUAUUGCGAAGCCGGUGUUGGCGGCGGGCGUACUAUUUCGGUGCCCCCCGUUUAAAAUACCUGAAAGCGGCCAAAGUUGGAGUCGAACCCGGGCGAUAGUAGAAAUAUUAAAUCGCCACAGGGGGAGUAUCUAAUCGCUUAAAAUAAAUUGGACGGCGGCGGUCCCCACGGAUCACCGUCUUUUAUAUUUUUGACCUCAGAUCAGACGAGGAUACCCGCUGAACUUAA
rnacentral:misc_RNA from 1 species